rnacentral:tRNA from 1 species
UCCCGCGUAGCUCAAUCGGCAGAGCGUCCGGCUGUUAACCGGCAGGUUCCGUGUUCGAAUCACGGCGCGGGAG